GCGCGUACAGAAAAUCUCACUGCGCGCACAAAAAAUCCAACCUGAAACGAAAAUAAAACAAACACAUAAAAAUUCAUUCUGUGUUAUUUUAGAUGUGAGUCAGUGAGUGACCGGUAACUUGCUGCUCCAUUCACAAUGCGAUUGUGAAUGGAGCAGCGAUUCACAGCGAUUCACAGCCGUAUUUACGCAGCGGAUUUACGUCAACGACAACCGCGGUCAAAUGAGCUUAGGUCACCGGGGCUUUUGUUUUGUUGUACCAUCCAGCCAUCAUUGCUGAGGGGGAAGUUGGGCGUGGACCAACAUCUGGCUGCCUGGACAGUCACUAGCUCACAGACAGGCCACAGUUUGUGAUGCACAUCAGACACACUAGUCUGCAGCGCAGAGGCCUCUCAGGGCACGAUGCGCUCCCCUUUUCUGGUUACACGUCUGACUUUAAAUGCCACGCCCACCACUGUCACCUACAGAGGUUCUCUGAUGACACCGCCAUUGUUAGCUGUGUAUUGGGGGGAAUGAGCAGGAGUGCAGGGGGGUCAUUGCUGACUUUGCGAGCUGGUGCGAGAAUAACCAGCACACACCCAGCGAUGGGACCUUUAGUAGACUUUGGUGUGUGCAGACAGCUGCUACGGACUUCCUGUGAUGGCGGCCUCAGUAGUCCUGCAUGGAGUUAUGUGCUGGGGGGCACAACACAAGUUCAGAUAUGUUUGAAGUUAUGUCUGACUUCAGAAGCCUGUGGCACGUACUGUAGCUAUUAGCAGAAACUGGCUACAUACUACGGUGUUGUAUGUUGGGUAGUCUAUGAAUUGGGUCUAAGAAACAUGUUUAUGAUUUACGUGAGUUAAUUCUUAGAGCGUUAGGUCUUAGAGGGAAGACUGAACAAUUGAAGCUGUUCAAUCUGAACACUGACUCAUGCCAUUUGUAUGAAGAAGCUCAUGUACUGAAACCAGGCUCAGGACUAGUCUGAGUCCACAGAACCAAAAGAAAGCUGGGUUGUUUUUAUCUUCCUCUAUUAUUGAUGUGAUUCUAGUAACUCAGAGUCCUUUUAUAUUAUUUAACUAUAUGUCCAUGCAAGGUCAGAUUUGUCUGAAUUGUUGGAACAACACUUAAUUUUAGUUUUUAUGGUUUCUUUUUCAUGAGCAACAGCAUUAGCACACAAAACGUGUUUUCUAACUGCAGUAUGUCUGUUACUGUAAAUUCAAAAGCUCAUGUUUUGUAAAGAACUAUUGAAUGAUCAGUUCAACCCUGUAGGUCAGGAGACAAUCAAGGGUAUAAUUAAGACUGAGUGGGUUCAUCACUGAUGCUAAGUUUCUCAUGGAACAAAUGACAAAACAGCAUAAAAUGCUGUGCCGUUUGGUGCCGUUUGGUGCAACUCGGCGAUCACAAAACGCAACUGUGGACUUCCACACCUGUGUGAACCUCACCUUUCCACAAGAGUUAACAUAUGGUCAUCUUUUCUCCUGUCGCUGGAGAGGUGGUGAGCGAAGAGAGGGGCAGAUUAAAGCCACGUACUGUGGAAACGAUGCUUUUCCUGAAGAAAAUCGGAUGCAGUUUCCACAGACAACCAGCAGAUGCUGCAAUCACUGAAGAAAACCGUACACACGUAACAACAGCGAAGCAUCGGAGGUGACGCAAUACGCUCAGCGCCAAUCAGCCCGGCGAAAAAGCCACGUCCAGCCACACGCCAGACAAAAGCAGCGCGAGCAGGAAGUGGCGCAGCGCCGUCAGCCAAUCACGUCCGGCUCGAGCCCUCACGCGCGACACAGCUUCCAGCGCGUCUUCUUUUUCUUCUUCUGCUGCUUUUUCUUCACACUUCGUUUAUUGGCAGUUGGCAAGAAACAUGCUGGUGCACUGCUGCCGCCUUCUAAGAUGGAGCGUGGAUUAGAUGGUGAACAUCAACCAAGCAUCAAUCAAACAAACAUACAAAAACUACAAAAACAACAUCAAAAUCUAUCAUUCUAACUAUUUGUUGAAUAUAUAAGGACCAAUGUAAAAUGACAUGCUAAAAAAUUUCCUCUUCUUUACAUUCACAAUUUCUUGUACUAUUGAGCCUUGUGUGUCCAAAUCUCAUCCUAACAACUAUAUCGUAUUUCGUUCUACUCUAGAGGCCCUCUUUUCCCAGAUGUUCAGUCGUCUUUUCAUCUGAUACAAUGUCAUGUUUAGUAGGGCACAGACACCUUCAUGAGGAAACUCAUACAGACACACAAAUAACAACAUCAUAUCUGAUAUCACAAUCAUAUUUUAGGCUACUGGUUUAGAGAUCAAGAGCAAUACACUUCAGCGGAUGCUACCACAUGUAGCUGUGUACUACUGUACAUAAACAAUAUGUCAUUUACGGUGUUCCCUGGCUACUAAGUUAUAUGAGUCUCUAUAUGUAUUCAUUAUUUUUUAUGUAAUAGUAUUUAAUCCUUUGAACUUUGAAAACUUUGAAGUGAGUCAUUUUCAAAUCCAUGGGAUAUUUUUUUUCCUUUGCUUUAAGUUCAUAUCAGUGGAGGGGGCCCAUGCACUGUCAAUACAACCAUUGUCUGUUCAGAUAAUAUUGUGCACAUAGUCAUUCACUUCCUUUAGCUGGUGGAAUCUAUGUCAUAAAUUUCCCAAGCUUAGCUUUGUUCUGUGGAUGAAGCUGAUGAUGGUGUAUAGUACUCAUCACUCCUAACUCCUGACAAAGCAAGAAGCUCUAUUUAACCAUUAUUAGAUAAGCCUGGCUAGGACACUCAAUUCUAAUAUAGGACCACAAAAUAACUACAUAACUAAACAGGGUCAAUGAUUUGACUGUUAAUAAUGUGCAGAGACAUGAGUGAAAUAAUUCCUUGUUUUAGGGAAACACAUGAGCUGUGUGGCCAUAACACUGGACAUCUUGUUGUAUCACCUCUGCCUGGUGACUAAUCAGUGUGUGUUGUAUUUACAGCCGGGGUAAAACAGUUCUUGUCCUUGUCCAGUUAGGGUGCAUUCACAUUAUAACCUCUGUUAAUAAUAGUUAAGAGAUUUACAGAUAUAUACAAAUCUGGAGAGUUUCUGUAUGAAUGUAUGAAUAAGGGAGUGACCCUUCAACAUUUUUAUUUGACUUUUUGAAAACCACUCAUCAUCAUCAAACAUCAAAAAGGGGAUUUAUCCUAAAAUUUAGGAAAAUGAAUAAAUUGAGUAAUUUUUGUCCAAAUGCUGAAGCUAAAUCUCUAUUACACUAAUGUCAUGGUUUUACUACAGUAUGUGAGUUUAGUAACAGAAGUGAGAAUCUCCACAUGGAAAGAUACACUGAAUUAUACUUGUAUGACAUUUUUGGAGGACUGUGCACAGAGAUAAAAAAACAGAAACAAUUUGAUAUGUACAGUAUAUGUAGAAAAAAUCAUACAUUUACAAUUGUUCAUGAGUAUAUGCAUGUGUGCAUGUCUAUUGUUGAAGGCUUUUCACAUUCCAGUUGCUCCAGUAGUUACUCUACUGUGGCAUGUCUUAUAUCUACACUAAAUGCCCCUGAGGCUCAGGUCCAGCAGCGGAGACCCGACCAGCUAAAUUAGAAAAAUUAUUAAUUAUAAAAAUAACGGUUAACCACACAAAUUUAAUAAACAUCAAAGGCUUGAGUGAAUAAAAUUCAUUAUGCUAAUUGUACAAACCUUAGAUCAAAUGCAAUCACUUCAUCUUGUCCUGACAUUGCUUGAAAUGUUGAAAUUUAUAAUUUUAAUAGUUAUUCCUCAAAACCCUUUAUCUUACCAUUUCUAAAUAACUUUACUAUAUCGUUACAGCAGCUGCGGAAAUUCCCCUAUAGCAGAUGUUUACUGUAUCAGACAAUGCUGUUGCUGGAUUUAAGGAGAGUAGUCUUAAUCCUACUCAUGCACAGGUGGAUCGUUCAGUUGAUGAUGCUGCAGCUUCACUUUAGACACUGAUGUUCCUCUGAAGGAGGCAGCAGUGACUCGGAGGAGGUCAGCUCUAUGGUAUAACUUUGAUUCACAGUUUAAAGCACAGGACUCAAAAACUAGAAAUGAAAAUGACAUCAUUCCUGUAGAGGAUGGGAGGGCAGUUUAAUACUACUACAUAAAAAGCAAUUAGUGCUGCUAGAACCACGUUAUUUCUCUCAUUAUUAGAAAAAAACAAAUGAUCCACACUGUAAUGGAAAAAUUUUGCCUUGUGCUGUUUCUUAUCCAACACACUCGUCAUGUGCUGGUUAGGUACAAUACUGAACAUUCUUACACAAACAAAUAAUCUCUUGUGCCCUGACGUACAUCAAGUCUAAACAUCUGAUGCUCCAUUUGACUGUCUAAUAAUUUCUGAUAUAUGUUUGUCUUUUACACCCGGACUCUGGCUCCAUCCUAUCUGACUCCCCACCAGACCCAAAGGCUGUUAAAGCAAAUGCAUCUUGUCUUGGAAGCUCGGUGUUCCUUCCUUUGAAUAACAAGACAUGACGAUGCAGAAGUGAGAAAGCAAACAUUCUCACUCACAGCGAGAUAAGGUGGCGCAAACAAUUCCAUUGCUGCAGAGAGACAUUCCACCAGAGCCAGAGAAAGGGGUUAAAAGGCAGAAGCAACUUGAGGAUCGUGGGCUCUUUGCAUUAUACCUCCGUGGUGUGUGCACUGAUCUCCCCAGCUGGUUUUUGGUUUGUUGAUGUGCACGAUCAACAUCCAUGCUUUUUAUUUGCUUUCCCCAUUAUUUUUAUUUUCUUUAUUAUUUCAAUAAAUCGCAGAAAAAGGACAACUCUCUCUCAUCUACUUCUUUAUGGAAAAUUUCCACCACAGAAAUUGGCGUCUACGAACAGGAUCCCGCGGCAGGUCGUCUGGACGGUGUGACCAGGGACGAUAGUCCUGAGGACUAGGGUCGCUCAGCCUCCAAACCUCUACAGACAUUCAGAGCUGGGAGGACUGCUCACCCGUCUGGAUCGCCUCUGACGAGAUCCACGAACUCAGAUUCAAACUCAAAUCCUAAUUUGGCUCGGCUCGGUGAGAGAGAUUCCUUUUAAUUUGGGAAAAAAAAAACAAACAAAAAGAAAAUAUAACUAGGAAAAGAGAUAAUAAUAUUUCUAAAACGACUAUGUGGCUGAAAACAUCUAAAAUAUAAUAAUUAGGACCAAACAAUUUUUUUUUAAUUAAAAAAUUUAAUAUUCGGGUAAAAAUUAAUUAGGUCAAAGUCUGCCCUGGUGGCCGAGACGGUGGUUGCUAAGGGUUGGCUCGUGGGACCGAGCUUGUUUUGUCUGUACUGAGGGUACAGACCAGUGUGCAGAUCUGAGCGCAGUCCAAAGGGAGUGGACAAGGAAAUAAAAGACGGCUUCUGAAAUACGGAGCGCGUUUGCAGGGGGAAGUGGUUUCGAGAUACGAGGGACCCGGGUCUUAGAGGGGCCUGACGGUGAGGGACCACUUCCGAGAACCUUGUCGCUGAUCUGAGCGGUUCCCUUUCUACGGAGACGUCCGUGGAAGAGAAAUUUCGAAAAAAGGUUCCGGCCGGAACACAAAAAAGUCUAAGGCAGAAAACCGCCGGGACUCUGAAAGAUGGGUUCGGGGCGAUCUAAGUCUCCACCACCAGACUGCAGCAUUACAAAAGUAAAAGUAAUUAAAAGUAAAAGGUAAAUAUGGUUAUUAGUGUGUUUCAUGUUUCCAUGAGUGGGAAACUGGUUAUAGGUUCAAAAGGAGAAUUACGUAGUGUAAAAGACAUAUGCACCUUUAAAAGAUUUGAAAAAGCAAAACAUCAAAACUAAAGCCCUAAAAGAAACAAAAGAGUGAUGAGAGUAACAGAAAAAAAAAAAAGGAGAUAACAACUCUGGGGAAGAAUUGUUUGCACUCUGCCACACCACACACCACACAUACAUACACCACACACAUAUCAUGCCAAGAGCAAAUGCUCCCAUUGUUUCUGCUCUCUAUUCUAAUGCAGAACUGAGCGCGAUGAGGGUAAAUCCGGAUCUGGACUCCUUUCCCACCAUCAGCAGAAGAACCGAAGGAGAAGAAGCGCCAACCAACAACCAGAACGGGGUGGAAGCUCUGACACCACAGCAGCUGGAGGACACAGACCACAGCAUGGACGCCUCAGCGACUCCCACAACGUCUGCAGCCAUCACGUUCUGGGCUCAUCAGAUGAACCAGCUACUACAAGCGUGUGUGUCUGACACAGACACCUGCUUAUGACAAUCAGCAAAGGAAAACAAGGACAGAGCAACAGCAGAGUGAGAAGACGUGCUCUGACACAGACACUGGUUGAAACAACAGGAGAGGCUUCAGACGUGAUCGGCCCAAUAGAGCUGCAUCUGAGGAUCCAGGAAAGGUCUGUCAUCGAGGAACAACUGUCCCAUUGAAAGGCUUCACCCACUGGCGCUCACAUCAGACUGAUGGUUGGGGAAGGAGGAAGGUGACGGUUCCUUUUCACGUGACGUACAAGACGGUACCGCAAACACACACACACACAUUCAUACACGCAAUGAAGAAACACGCUUACAGCUGAUACACGCUCAAAUUCAUGUUCAUGCUUAUCUGCUCGCAAUGAAGAAUCGCUUUUUGCUCAAAAAAAAUCCCACAGAGUGAUUUUAAAAAUAUGACAAACAGCUAAAUGACAACUGCUGCAUGACUUUACAGUCUGAUGGGUUUAAACUAUUUCAAUUUGCAACAAAUUCAGUAAUAAAAUCCUCCAUGUUUCUAAAAAUACUUGUGCACAAUAUAGGUUUGUCUGGCCAGACUAUAGAAAAACAAAACAGACUGUAGAAAAAACAAAACCAGACCAUAGAAAGACUGAGACUGACUGAAACAGACUAUUAAUGACUAUUAAAGGGAAGACGACUAUUAGAGAGAAGUAAUAAUAAUUACUGUACGUACCAGACUAUUAAAGAAAAACUUAUUCUUUCACUGUCUUGUGCAACAUCUGACAGCAAGACACCUUAACAUUCAUUUUUGCUUUCAAACUUGUGCCCAGUUAAAUUUUUAGGAAGACAUCUGAUGUGUAGUUUAGGUAUUUGAUUGAUUUCCACUCCAGACGGAGUGCAGGUUACAUCUACAGACAUUCUAAAUAAUCCCUCUUUUGCUGGUGUUAACUUCAGCUCAGCUGUGCUCUUAUCAUUGGCUGCUGAGGGGGGGCUGUAACUGAGGCCCUCACACAGGCUGCAUCGCAGCUUGUUUAUGAUUCCACACACACACUCAAACUGACCUCAACUUCCCUCUUUUGGGAUGAACACAGGUCUGCGCUUGCGAUUUCUUUUACUAACGAACAAAAAGAUUUUUGAUGUUUAUUCUACAGUUCCACACGUCCCUCUGUGAAAACAUGAUGGAGACAGAUGCAGGACGUGGGUCCUUUCGUGAACAGAUGUCAACGGGGUGGAGACUGGUGAACGACUUCUGACCCCAUGUGACGUAUUCACCUACUUUGCAUAGUUUUAGAAAACUUAUUUUUAUUCUGCCUGUUAUGUGCAGCAAACAGUGAACUUGGUACCUCCACAUUCUAAUGACACACUACAUGCUUUUGUUUUUAUUUUGAUUUUUCAGAGGACGCUCUGAGCCAACACUCAGCCUUACAGGAAGCCCUGCUUCCCUGUGGCUCACACACAGACAUGAUGUAGGUUUGAUCAGAGGAUGUGAACCAGUGGUCAUCACACCUAAAUCUGACCACAGACCAUGUAAACAACACCACCCUCUUAAAGGAGCCAAAGAUGGCGUUACUGCAGACACCGCUAAGAUACUGAAACAUUGGAUGCUACAGGCCACAAAGAGAGCCUGUCUAAAUUACACUUUGUUCAGACAAAGGUUAUUUUCUGGGUCAUUGUAAUUACAGCUGAUGGCAAAUCCAUCUCACCCAACAGAGUUGAAGCAAUUUGAAACCUGCCUAAACCGUGCACGUAUAAACAGCUUAUCUUUUCUAGGUUUUUGUUCUUAUUGCAGGAACUUCAUUCUUAACUUUAAUGUCUUUGAGGCCCACUCAGGGUUCUGAUGCAGACGUCUUCAUCGUCCACUUCUUGUCUCACGUGGACGUCUGAGGCUGACGUUUAUUGACCUCAUGCUUGCUCUUCAGUCGGCUCCUACUUUGGGUCUUCCUGAUCUGACCCUACGCGACCUUUCACUCAAACAGUGAAUGAGAAAUCAGGUUGUACGACUUCUGUUCUUUUGUCCUCAUACUGUGUCUUUGAUUCUUUUGGAAUAGAUCCCACGUUCUACAGCCCGAUGGCUUAGAUGCAACACCACCUUACUCAACAUGCUGAACAUUACUAUCAAGAGGUCGUCUUGAAGUCUGGCGCUUUGCUAAGACACUACUCUGCUCAGGCUGCAGAGUUGAUUGCGUUGACUGAAGCUAGUAAACUAGCAGAAGGAGAGUCUGUUACCAUCUACAGACUCCACAGAUGCUUGUCACACGUUGGUUCUCUGUGGAAGCAUAGGAAGCUUUUUUGAAGUCUAAUUGCAAACCUAUCUCACAUCAUGAUUAGGUUCUGCUUUGCUGGACGCUGUCCUGCUGCCUACAGCUAAUGCUGUUUUUACAUCAUCAGUGACGACUUUGUUUCUGCCGACAUGCAGCUGCAGACGCUGCUGCGAAGGACGACAACCCCUCCCUCUCCUGAUCCUCGUUUCCUCUCCUCAUCCUUGUUCCCUCUCUCCAACUCUCUCUAUCCUUUCCUUCCUUUCUUCCUCUCUCCCUGUGCUUUAAACAUUUUCUACCUCGCAGGAACACAGACUCUGGCUGACGAAUGGUUCCACCUGUAGCCAUGGAGUCUGGUUUGGGCCUGAUGGCAGCUGUGCUGCCCAAACACCUUUUCCCCAUAAUUCAGAUUUCCAACAGGUGAAAGCAGGCGACAGGACCACUACACCAUCCAACCAGGGCACUGGGUGAUCGUUAAGGAGUUCAGGAGGAAGCACUGGAACUCCAAACGGUGGCGAGGCCACUUCCAGGUCCUUCUGACGACCCACACGGCUGUAAAGAUCGCAGAGAGAGCGACUUGGAUCCACUCCACUGCAAGAAGGUCCCGGAUCCGACAGACGACCCUCCAUCUACAUCUACACCACA